GAUGAACGCUAGCGGCAGGCUUAACACAUGCAAGUCGAGGGGCAGCAUGAGGGUUAGCAAUAACCCUUGAUGGCGACCGGCGCAAGGGUGCGUAACGCGUGAGCAACUUGCCCGUUUCUGGGGAAUAACCGGUGGAAACGCCGACUAAUACCCCAUAGUAUUGGUUUUAGGCAUCUUUAACCAAUUAAAGAAUUUCGGAAACGGAUAGGCUCGCGUGACAUUAGCUAGAUGGCGGGGUAACGGCCCACCAUGGCGACGAUGUCUAGGGGUUCUGAGAGGAAGGUCCCCCACACUGGAACUGAGACACGGUCCAGACUCCUACGGGAGGCAGCAGUGAGGAAUAUUGGUCAAUGGUCUGACGACUGAACCAGCCAUGCCGCGUGAAGGUCACGGCCCUAUGGGUCUUAAACUUCUUUUGUUAGGGAGCAAUAAGUUCUACGUGUAGGAUGAUGAGAGUACCUAACGAAUAAGCAUCGGCUAACUCCGUG
rnacentral:rRNA from 1 species